GCCCUCCACAUUUCUUAGCGAGCGAAUUCUAAAGAGCCAGACUCCUCUGUACUGCAGAUUAUUUUCUGAGAAUACAAUGGGAACAGUAACCCUUCCAAAGGAUGCUAGGUAGUAUUUAUAUUGCUAACCAUUGUUUGCAAAAAGCUACUUCAACAAUCUGAGAGUGCAAAUCUGUGAGUUACUAACAGAGCUCAUAAUACUACAUGGAUCACCUUGAGAUUAAAGAGCAACGUUAUGGUCCAGAGGCCACAUGAUUACCAGAUUACUGCAAAGGUCAUCCGGAAGAAUGGGUAGAAAUUAGGGGUU
rnacentral:lncRNA from 1 species